CCCUUAGAUGUUCUGGGCCGCACGCGCGCUACACUGAUGCAUUCAACGAGUCUAAAACCUGCUCUGAUAGGGGUGGGUAAUCUUUUGAAUGUGCAUCGUGAUUGGGAUAGAUGAUUGCAAUUUUUCAUCUUCAACGAGGAAUGCCUAGUAAACGCAAGUCAUCAGCUUGCAUUGAUUACGUCCCUGCCCUUUGUACACACCGCCCGUCGCUCCUACCGAUUGAAUGAUCCGAUGAAUAUCAUGGAUUGAGGAUGCAAGUAGGUUAGCCUAUCUUCAUCUUCGAGAAGUGAAGUAAAUCUUAUCAUUUAGAGGAAGGAGAAGUCGUAACAA
rnacentral:rRNA from 1 species